UUCUGCCCUAUGAUUAUUUAAAUGGCUGCAGUACCCUGACUGUGCAAAGGUAGCAUAAUAAUUAGUCUUUUAAUUGAGGACUGGAAUGAAUGGAUAUAUGAGUAUUUAUUUUAUUAAUAUUAAAUUUUUAAUUUAAUUUCUAAGUAAAAAAGCUUAGGGUUUUGUAUGGGACGAUAAGACCCUAUAGAACUUAAAUUUUAUUUAUUUUUAUUUGUAAUUUAGUUUUAUCUUACUAUAAUUAUUUUACAAUUUUUGUUGGGGUGACAGAUAAAUUUGAUCUUUAUUUUUUUAUAUCAUUUUUUAUUGUUUUAUUGACCCAUUUAUUGAUUGCAAGAUUAAGUUACCUUAGGGAUAACAGCGUAAUUUUAAUGGAGAGUUCUUAUUUAUAUUAAAGUUUGCGACCUCGAUGUUGAAUUAAGAUCAGAUUAAGGGGUAG
rnacentral:rRNA from 1 species